rnacentral:tRNA from 1 species
GUUUUGAUAGUUUAAAUAAAAACAAUGAUCUUGUAAAUCAUAAAUAGAACCUCUUCAAAACU